CAGCCGCCACGGUAAUACGAAGGGUGCAAGCGUUACUCGGAAUUACUGGGCGUAAAGCGUGCGUAGGUGGUGGUUUAAGUCCGUUGUGAAAGCCCUGGGCUCAACCUGGGAAUUGCAGUGGAUACUGGGUCACUAGAGUGUGGUAGAGGAUAGUGGAAUUUCCGGUGUAGCAGUGAAAUGCGUAGAGAUCGGAAGGAACAUCUGUGGCGAAGGCGACUAUCUGGGCCAACACUGACACUGAGGCACGAAAGCGUGGGGAGCAAACAGGAUUAGAUACCCGAGUAGUCCCUGUCUCUUAUAC
rnacentral:rRNA from 1 species